GGGCAAGUGGCGAAAUUGGUAGACGCACCAGAUUUAGGUUCUGGCGCAGAAAUGUGUGAGAGUUCGAGUCUCUCCUUGCCCACCA
rnacentral:tRNA from 1 species